rnacentral:rRNA from 1 species
GACGUAGGGGGCCAGCGUUGUUCGGAAUUACUGGGUGUAAAGGGUUCGUAGGCGGUGCGGCAAGUUGGGAGUGAAAUCUCUGGGCUCAACCCAGAGGCUGCUUCCAAAACUGCCGUGCUUGAGUGUGGGAGAGGCGCGUGGAAUUGCAGGUGUUGCGGUGAAAUGCGUAGAGAUCGGCAGGAACACCGGUGGCGAAAGCGGCGCGCUGGACCACUACUGACGCUGAGGAACGAAAGCGAGGGGAGCAAACAGG